GUGCUUGCACUGAUUUCAACAAUGAAGCGAGUGGCGAACUGGUGAGUAACACGUGGGGAAUCUGCCCAGAAGCAGGGGAUAACACUUGGAAACAGGUGCUAAUACCGUAUAACAACAAAAUCCGCAUGGAUUUUGUUUGAAAGGUGGCUUCGGCUAUCACUUCUGGAUGAUCCCGCGGCGUAUUAGUUAGUUGGUGAGGUAAAGGCCCACCAAGACGAUGAUACGUAGCCGACCUGAGAGGGUAAUCGGCCACAUUGGGACUGAGACACGGCCCAAACUCCUACGGGAGGCAGCAGUAGGGAAUCUUCCACAAUGGACGAAAGUCUGAUGGAGCAAUGCCGCGUGAGUGAAGAAGGGUUUCGGCUCGUAAAACUCUGUUGUUAAAGAAGAACACCUUUGAGAGUAACUGUUCAAGGGUUGACGGUAUUUAACCAGAAAGCCACGGCUAACUACGUGCCAGCAGCCGCGGUAAUACGUAGGUGGCAAGCGUUGUCCGGAUUUAUUGGGCGUAAAGCGAGCGCAGGCGGUUUUUUAAGUCUGAUGUGAAAGCCUUCGGCUUAACCGGAGAAGUGCAUCGGAAACUGGGAGACUUGAGUGCAGAAGAGGACAGUGGAACUCCAUGUGUAGCGGUGGAAUGCGUAGAUAUAUGGAAGAACACCAGUGGCGAAGGCGGCUGUCUAGUCUGUAACUGACGCUGAGGCUCGAAAGCAUGGGUAGCGAACAGGAUUAGAUACCCUGGUAGUCCAUGCCGUAAACGAUGAGUGCUAAGUGUUGGAGGGUUUCCGCCCUUCAGUGCUGCAGCUAACGCAUUAAGCACUCCGCCUGGGGAGUACGACCGCAAGGUUGA
rnacentral:rRNA from 2 species